GGAUAAUCUACCCGACAAUCAGGGAUAACAUUUCGAAAGAAAUGCUAAUACCUGAUAAGCCUACGCCCUCCUCGGAGGAAGUAGGAAAAGGUGGGGACCUUCGGGCCUGCCGUUGUCGGAUGAGUCCGCGGCCCAUUAGCUAGUUGGUAGGGUAAUGGCCUACCAAGGCUACGAUGGGUAGCUGGUCUGAGAGGAUGAUCAGCCACACUGGAACUGAGACACGGUCCAG
rnacentral:rRNA from 1 species